GAUGAACGCUGGCGGCGUGCCUAAUACAUGCAAGUCGAGCGAACGGACGAGAAGCUUGCUUCUCUGAUGUUAGCGGCGGACGGGUGAGUAACACGUGGAUAACCUACCUAUAAGACUGGGAUAACUUCGGGAAACCGGAGCUAAUACCGGAUGAUAUUUUGAACCGCAUGGUUCAAAAGUGAAAGACGGUCUUGCUGUCACUUAUAGAUGGAUCCGCGCUGCAUUAGCUAGUUGGUAAGGUAACGGCUUACCAAGGCAACGAUGCAUAGCCGACCUGAGAGGGGGAGCGCCCACACGGGAAGGGAGACAGGCCCAGGCCUCAUGGGGGGGGCACGAGGGGGGAUUCUGCGAGAAGGGGGAAAAGCGGGACGGACCAGCCCGGGGGGAGGGAAAAGGUUGUUGGGAUCGAAAACCUUUUUUAUGGGGAAAAAAAAUGUUGGAAAGAACCUUUCCACAUCGGGACGGUCCCUAAUAAAAAACCCAGGGAAAACUAGGGG
rnacentral:rRNA from 1 species